UCGUGCUUCAGUCCGUCCUCGGCUCUCGUGCGCAACAGACGUCGCUUUCUGCAGGCGCAUUGACUACACAGUCGCACGAAAUUAUCGCAGACCAAAUGAAAUAAACGAAAUAU